rnacentral:sRNA from 1 species
GAUACCAGGGUCAGACGGUCAAAAUCGACACAAGCUUGCUUGCAGGAGAUUUCUUGACCACCUGACCCGCCCAAAACAUGAGUAAGGAGCCAUUUUUUCCUGAAAAAUGUGCGGAUUACGAAUGUUUUGAGGAUUGUGGAGUGCAAAGCACGUAACAAUCCGGUA